AAUCAACGCUGGCGGCGUGCCUCAGACAUGCGAGUCGAGCGAUUAAAGCUCUCUUCGGAGAGUGCAUAAAGUGGCGCACGGGUGAGUAACACGUAAGUAAUCUACCUUCGAGUGGGGAAUAACGUCCGGAAACGGACGCUAAUACCGCAUAAUGCAGCGGCAUCGCAAGAUGACAGUUGUUAAAGAUUUAUCGCUUGAAGAGGAGCUUGCGGCAGAUUGGCUAGUUGGUAAGGUAAUGGCUUACCAAGGCUACGAUCUGUAACCGGUCUAAGAGGACGGUCGGUCACACUGACACUGAAUAACGGGUCAGACUCCUACGGGAGGCAGCAGUCGGGAAUUUUGGGCAAUGGGCGAAAGCCUGACCCAGCAACGCCGCGUGAAGGAUGAAGUAUUUCGGUAUGUAAACUUCGAAAGAAUGGGAAGAAUAAAUGACGGUACCAUUUAU
rnacentral:rRNA from 1 species